rfam:Picea glauca, whole genome shotgun sequence.
AUUAGAGUGGCACAGCGAAAGCGUGGUGAGCCCAUAACCCACAGAUCCCAGGAUCGAAUCCUGGCUCUGAUA